rnacentral:rRNA from 1 species
UCCAGGCCCUACGGGGCGCAGCAGGCGCGAAACCUCCGCAAUGCGGGCAACCGCGACGGGGGGACCCCCAGUGCCGUGGCACAGCCACGGCUUUUCCGGAGUGUAAAAAGCUCCGGGAAUAAGGGCUGGGCAAGGCCGGUGGCAGCCGCCGCGGUAAUACCGGCGGCCCGAGUGGUGGUCGCUAUUAUUGGGCCUAAAGCGUCCGUAGCCGGGCCCGUAAGUCCCUGGCGAAAUCCCACGGCUCAACCGUGGGGCUUGCUGGGGAUACUGCGGGCCUUGGGACCGGGAGAGGCCGGGGGUACCCCUGGGGUAGGGGUGAAAUCCUAUAAUCCCAGGGGGACCGCCAGUGGCGAAGGCGCCCGGCUGGAACGGGUCCGACGGUGAGGGACGAAGGCCAGGGGAGCAAACCGGAUUAGAUACCCGGGUAGUCCUGGCUGUAAAGGAUGCGGGCUAGGUGUCGGGCGAGCUUCGAGCUCGCCCGGUGCCGAAGGGAAGCCGUUAAGCCCGCCGCCUGGGGAGUACGGCCGCAAGGCUGAAACUUAAAGGAAUUGGCGGGGGAGCACUACAAGGGGUGGAGCGUGCGGUUUAAUUGGAUUCAACGCCGGG